UGCUGGGAUUACAAGCGUGAGCCACCGCACGCGGCCUCAGCCACAUUUAUUAAUUUCACUCUUGGCAAACAUCAGGGGGAAGCUGACCCACACGGCCUGGGAAGGGGGUUGUCUUUUGCAUAGAGACCAUGACCAGGUCUGGGACAGAGGAAAGUCAAAUAAAUCACACAUUAGAGUUAGAAGCAGAGGCUCAGGCUGAGCCCAGGUUUAUUAUCCAAAAUCAAAAUGAAAUGCAGUGAUUAAAGGACACAA